rnacentral:lncRNA from 1 species
AUGUUCUCAGAUAAAAAGCAACAAUCUCCUUGGUGUGUACAAAUUAAGUCAUUUUCACAAGUUAGUUUUGUCUCCGGUACUAAAUCAAGAUUGCAUUUGAAAGGCUUCGCAGUAACUAGUUCUGCCAAGAAGCAUUAUCAGUUUGAGAGUAUUUGAAAGCAUUUCCAGAAAGCUUUUUCAUAUCAUACCUGCAGUCUUCUGAGCUCUCUGGCGUCCAGCUUCUGCAAAGACAGCCAUGGCCUGAACAGCCGCUCGCAGAACAGCCCAGCGGAACACAGCUACAGGGUCCAUUCCUAUCAGCUCCCGAACAUAGGCACUGUCACUGCUUCGUAGUAAAGCAACAAUGUCUGGCCUCAUGUAAUCCAUGUUCUUCUCUCUGAAAUCCUGCAGAACAGGAACACUGAACCUCAAGCUCUUUGGAAAGCAAGGCACGCAGACACCACCCAGCACUGUGCUUUGACCCAAGAUAUUCAUCACUACUCAGAAAGACAUUUGUUGCUUACUUGCUUUCUUCAUCCAGAAGAUAGAAGAGACCAGUGGGCUUCUUGCUGAUUAAGUGAAUGCAGGCCACAUUAUCAGUAUAGUCAAUAUCGUGCCAAGUGAUCCCUUCACUCUUAUAUUCCUCCUGUGU